rnacentral:tRNA from 4 species
GAAGAAGCGUCUGUAGAAGUGGUGAAUUGUAGCUUCAUUUAUGAGUUUAAUUACUCCUUCUUUA